ensembl:lncRNA
GCACCAUUCCUUGCCUAGCACAGAGAGCGUGAACUGAGAAGGCAGGAGCAGCACGCAUUCAUCAUCCCACUCUCCUUCCUGAUGGUGGAUGAAGUGUGACUGGCCGCUUCACGCACCAGGCAGACCUGACUGCCCAGCGUGGUGGGAUUUUGAACUAUGGAGGUGGAGCUGAUAUGAAAAUUGAAGAAACACCACUCGAGGGCACAAGGGAGACCUGAGCAGCACAGACCUGAAGACUUCUCUUCUGAACGGAGGCUUAUUAUUUAGCAAUCCUGGGAUCCACCCAGCACAUACUUAACAUUUUCAAGGUCCCUUUGCCAAAUGGUAGAACACGGAAUGAUAGAACAUGGAGGAGGACAUAGAUACAGAGAUCCUCCCUCUUCUAUCAAGGCAUGAGACACGGCUAGCCAGAGAUGUCUCAGACGCUGCUAAUCUUCCCAGUGUAUCACAUGACAUCAUUAAGAACAAACAGUGAACGAUCCUUGGUCAUGAACUGUAUUUCCAGUUGUGAGAAGGUAGAUUUAGAUUUUUUUUCUUGGAUCAGGAUUAAGUGCCCAAUAUUUGUUUUAUGUGUGGG